rnacentral:lncRNA from 1 species
GGUGAGAAGUGAAGAUGAUGAUUCAUUUACUGUGUAAAGACAAAAUCAUGGUUCCCUUUUUACGCGCAAACAAGGGUCUUUUUGUCAAACAUCACCAUAAUAUAUAACGUAUCAUAGCCACAAAGAAGUAAUGGUUAUAAACUUAAUUUUCUUUGUGCUAUGGACAUGUCACCUAAUUUCCCAACAAUAUUUAGUGUAGUUGUAACGAAAUCGAGAUUCCGCAUGAUGUUAUUUUUUAUCAAAUGGGUCUUAUGACACAUUAUAUAGAUCAACAUAUGGGCUUACAAGAUUCCACAUUUACGUUUGGGUUGUUUCAAACCUGGGCGUUCGGCUUUCAGUUCGGAUCCGGUUUGGUUAUUUCAGUUUUUGUUUUUUUUUUUUAUUCUGGAGAUAUAAGAACCGUUAGAUUAUUUAUGAAAUUUAGUUCGGUCUCGCUUUCAUUAUUUUGGUUUUCAGUUUAGUUCGGGUAACAAUUAUAAGAAUCGGCUAAUAUUUGAUAAACUUUUAGUUCUAAUUCGGUUACGGUUCAGUUCCGGAUAUUUGGUUAAUUUGGAUAAUUCGGAUGAAAAGAACAAAAUUUUUGGUUUUUCAGACCAAAAAUUGGGCAAUUCAGAUAAAUUUUAAUAGUUUAAUUGACAAUUAUUCAAGUGAUUCAGUUCUUAAGAGUAAUUUGAAUAAUUUUAAAUAUUUUAGAUAAAAAAAUAUAUUUGGUAAUCUAGAUUUUUCGGGUUGUUUGGUGUAUAAAUAAUGUUUUCAGAAUACUUGGUAAUGCUAAAGUUAAAUAUAACUAAUAAGUUUAGGAAUAUAAAAUGUAUUUCGGAUAUUUGGGUAUCUAUUCGGUUUGGUUUUGAUUUUUCAAUUCUAAAAAUUUUAGAAACCGUUCGGUUAGUUGUGAAUUUCGGUUUGAUUUUGGAUUUAAGGUUUUAGAUACGGUUUUUGGUUCUCGGUUUAUAUACCGAGACCUAUUUCAAAGUUUCGUUAUGCUAAAUGAAACUUUACAUAAUUCAGAUCUUGUACUCGACAGUCGACACAUAAAAUAAUGUUAGCGUGGACGUGGAUAACGUAUUAAAUCAUAGCUCGGCGUUUUCUUUCACUUUGCUUCGGAAUUUAAUCUAGAAGAAAACACUCGGCUCGAAUUCUAACUUUUUCUUGCGUGUCCAAGCCAGCCUGACGUUUAGUCAUUUUUUCACUAUCUUUAAGAUUAAUCAUUACGCAGUUCUUUAUGUUCAAAAAGCGAUCACCAGCCUUGUUUCUUUCCUCUUUUAAUUCUUCCCCACCUCUCAGCUCACAAGAAUAAACAAUACACCUCUAUUUUCCCGUCUCCGAGCUCUCUCUUUAUACAGCUUAUAGAUAAAUAACAGUAUCUUACAUAAAACAAUUAAGAUUACAAUCUUAGAAAAAGGCAACAGAACGUAGGGCCAAAGUGAGGUAGAUAGAUGAGAUUAGAAUCAAACGUACGAAAGUUUACGAAAAGAUUUAAACCCUUAGCUGUCUUCCCUAUAGAAACUCCUUCAUUUAUAUUCCAAACCCUUGUACGUAAGCAACUCAUCCAUUUGUUGACCAAUAUAUUGCAUGAAUAGUCACACUAAUUAAAAAGUGCUAGGAACAAAUAAUAAUCUCAAAAGUCAAAACAGUAUCAAAGCUGAAUUAAGUUAUAUUUUAUGUCAGUCAGUCAUAGUAAUUGUAGCGUUGUAGGUCAGUACUGGUCGAAUCAGUUUUAUGUACUUGUAUGUAUAGUUGUUGUUGUAUAGUGAAAAUGCAAAAUAAAUGUGUCAUCUUUUCAUUUUGUUCUCGUAUAAUUGGCUGAUUUGUUGGUUACUUUCUUGAACCAAAUUAUGAACUAAAAAUUUUAAAAUAUUAUUAUUUCCUUCAAGGAAAAAUAAGCAUCGUGUGACUGGUAAGAUUGUUCAUCUAAAACCACAGCUUUAACUGAGCUUUUAUCCGGAUUGUGGUCAAAUCAAUCGUACCGGAAAUGAGACAAUACUAUAUUCAGUGUAGUAUGGACAGAUCGUUAAAAACCAUAGACCUCCACGUUCAAAGGAAUUCAGUGUAUGUAAUAAGAGUUAUUGAACCAUAGCAAAUAGAGUUAUUGCUCCUCCUGAGCAUCUGAAAGAGCUACUUUAAUGUUUUUAUCCAUCACAAAUUGAAGUAAUUGUUGGUUCUUUUCCGUUCAGUAUGUUUGAACUCUAUUUGAUACAAACGCUCGGGCAACCCUAACUCCUUCAGUAUGUUAUUGGGAUUAUGCAAAAGAACAAUUGCAACACAACUACUUUACAAUAAUCUACCAACAUGGUUUAGCGCAUACACCAUACAAUUCCAAGUAUAUAUUUGCAGGCACAAUACAGUUCUUUGACUAUACUACAAACAUUCCACACAUAGUAUAGCCUGAGCUUUCAAAACCAUCAAACCCACUCAAGCUUACACCUACAUCUUCUAACUAACAUCUGUUAACUGUGCAUGCAUACAUCUAUAUGCAUGACAACAAAAUUAUAUAUGCUAAAAAUAUCAGGAAAAUACAACUUCACAUUCACCAACAAACAUGGUAUACAUCGAUCUUGCAAAAGGGUGAGAAGUGAAGAUGAUGAUUCAUUUACUGUGUAAAGACAAAAUCAUGGUUCCCUUUUUACGCGCAAACAAGGGUCUUUUUGUCAAACAUCACCAUAAUAUAUAACGUAUCAUAGCCACAAAGAAGUAAUGGUUAUAAACUUAAUUUUCUUUGUGCUAUGGACAUGUCACCUAAUUUCCCAACAAUAUUUAGUGUAGUUGUAACGAAAUCGAGAUUCCGCAUGAUGUUAUUUUUUAUCAAAUGGGUCUUAUGACACAUUAUAUAGAUCAACAUAUGGGCUUACAAGAUUCCACAUUUACGUUUGGGUUGUUUCAAACCUGGGCGUUCGGCUUUCAGUUCGGAUCCGGUUUGGUUAUUUCAGUUUUUGUUUUUUUUUUUUAUUCUGGAGAUAUAAGAACCGUUAGAUUAUUUAUGAAAUUUAGUUCGGUCUCGCUUUCAUUAUUUUGGUUUUCAGUUUAGUUCGGGUAACAAUUAUAAGAAUCGGCUAAUAUUUGAUAAACUUUUAGUUCUAAUUCGGUUACGGUUCAGUUCCGGAUAUUUGGUUAAUUUGGAUAAUUCGGAUGAAAAGAACAAAAUUUUUGGUUUUUCAGACCAAAAAUUGGGCAAUUCAGAUAAAUUUUAAUAGUUUAAUUGACAAUUAUUCAAGUGAUUCAGUUCUUAAGAGUAAUUUGAAUAAUUUUAAAUAUUUUAGAUAAAAAAUAUAUUUGGUAAUCUAGAUUUUUCGGGUUGUUUGGUGUAUAAAUAAUGUUUUCAGAAUACUUGGUAAUGCUAAAGUUAAAUAUAACUAAUAAGUUUAGGAAUAUAAAAUGUAUUUCGGAUAUUUGGGUAUCUAUUCGGUUUGGUUUUGAUUUUUCAAUUCUAAAAAUUUUAGAAACCGUUCGGUUAGUUGUGAAUUUCGGUUUGAUUUUGGAUUUAAGUUUUUAGAUACGGUUUUUGGUUCUCGGUUUAUAUACCGAGACCUAUUUCAAAGUUUCGUUAUGCUAAAUGAAACUUUACAUAAUUCAGAUCUUGUACUCGACAGUCGACACAUAAAAUAAUGUUAGCGUGGACGUGGAUAACGUAUUAAAUCAUAGCUCGGCGUUUUCUUUCACUUUGCUUCGGAAUUUAAUCUAGAAGAAAACACUCGGCUCGAAUUCUAACUUUUUCUUGCGUGUCCAAGCCAGCCUGACGUUUAGUCAUUUUUUCACUAUCAUAUAGAAAAACGUUAGGAAUGAUUUGGUUGCUGAUACUUGCCUUGCCUGAUCACCCUGCUUGAAACUUGAAUCCAUCUUUAAGAUUAAUCAUUACGCAGUUCUUUAUGUUCAAAAAGCGAUCACCAGCCUUGUUUCUUUCCUCUUUUAAUUCUUCCCCACCUCUCAGCUCACAAGAAUAAACAAUACACCUCUAUUUUCCCGUCUCCGAGCUCUCUCUUUAUACAGCUUAUAGAUAAAUAACAGUA